AUCUCACAACUCUACCGUGCAGCAUUUGUGGGUUGCAAAAUUUGUGGUUUCUUGAUCUUGGUGAAUGCUCAAAACUUGUCAGAUUUCCAACAAAUACCAAGAUUUUGAAUGUCGAUGGUUGCUCACUGUCACUUCCCAAGCUAGGUGUGUUCAGUAUCUCAGGAUGCAGUUCAUUAUCAGAUUGUGAUUUCCUGAUGACUCUUGAUUGCUGGGAAACAUUAGAGUGGCUUAAUCUGUCAAGAAACAAUUUUGUUAGUCUUCCUGCUUGCUUCACCAAAUUUGUCAGGUUGCGUGACCUUGACUUGCGGGAUUGCAAGAGACUCCGAGGAAUUCCGGAGCUUCCACCAAACGUUAAACCACAAACCUGGGGUUGUGAAUCACUGGAGGAGAGAUCCUCGACAUUGACAGAUCCUGGAGCUGUGAUAGAGGCGGCGUCGCCGUCAAUUGAAGAGCCAACUCCAUCCCCAGCACCAGUGAAUCCUCCGAAACCACAACGCACUGCCGCCGGGGGGCAAGCAUCAAUGGUCCAUUCUGCUCAUGAAAUGGCUAUCUCCCCAAUCCCCAUGAUCCCUGACCUGCAGACCCAUCACGGUCGCUGGCAUUGGUGGCGUUCGUAUCUUCAACCGAGUUGUUAAGGCUUUGGGUAUGAGCCUGUUUUGAGGCUGUCUUCAUCUGCUAUUUACUCAUCAAUCUGAGUUCUAGCCUGGCUUUGGCUAAGUUUCUUGCUUCGAGGUGAUGCGGCAGGUGUGUGCUGACCUUCUUGAGGAAAAUGAAAUUGGUUUUCAUUGUUUCUAAGGAUGGAAUUGAUACUGUUAGAGUGGUAUGCCGAUUCGAAUUCCGAGCAAUAAGCUACCAAAAGGCAGGCAUUUAAUUGGGGAUAGCAUGGUUUACGAUGUGGGUGUUUGGUUGCCCGGGGAGUUUCAGCCGCAGCUAGAAGUUACCCCCAUAGCUAAGUAUGGUUCGGAUCCUCAGCUGGUGUUGGGCCGCCAAAUUGCGGUGAAUAAGUCAUAUAUAUGCUAUGGAUUGAAGCAGGGGAAUAUUCGGGUUUUGAAUAUACACACUGCAUUGAGAUCGUUGUUUCGAGCUCAUACACAGAGGGUCACAGACAUGGCUUUCUUUGCCGAGGAUGUUCAGCUUUUGGCUAG